rnacentral:rRNA from 1 species
UUCCUACGGGACGCAGCAGUGGGGAAUAUUGCGCAAUGGACGAAAGUCUGACGCAGCGACGCCGCGUGAGGGAUGAAGGUUUUCGGAUCGUAAACCUCUGUCAGGAGGGAAGAAAGCGCAUGGCGCCAAUCAGCCAUGCGUUGACGGUACCUCCAAAGGAAGCGCCGGCUAACUCCGUGCCAGCAGCCGCGGUAAUACGGAGGAUGCGAGCGUUAUCCGGAUUUAUUGGGUUUAAAGGGUGCGCAGGCGGUCUGUUAAGUCAGCGGUCAAAGCCCGGGGCUCAACCCCGGCCCGCCGUUGAAACU